rnacentral:rRNA from 1 species
GAUGAACGCUGGCGGCGUGCCUAAUACAUGCAAGUCGAGCGAACAGACGAGGAGCUUGCUCCUCUGACGUUAGCGGCGGACGGGUGAGUAACACGUGGAUAACCUCCCUAUCAGACUGGGAUAACUUCGGGAAACCGGAGCUAAUACCGGAUAAUAUAUUGAACAGCAUGGUUCAAUAGUGAAAGACGGUUUUGCUGUCACUUAUAGAUGUAUCCGCGCCGCAUUAGCUAGUUGGUAAGGUAACGGCUUACCAAGGCAACGAUGCGUAGCCGACCUGAGAGGGUGAUCGGCCACACUGGAACUGAGACACGGUCCAGACUCCUACGGGAGGCAGCAGUAGGGAAUCUUCCGCAAUGGGCGAAAGCCUGACGGAGCAACGCCGCGUGAGUGAUGAAGGUCUUCGGAUCGUAAAACGCUGUUAUUAGGGAAGAACAAAUGUGUAAGUAACUAUGCACGUAUUGACGGUACCUAAUCAGAAAGCCACGGCUAACUACGUG